GCCACAUGACAUUGAAACACUGGUUCCUGUAUGAUCACUGAAGUUAAACAAUAUUAAGCCUGGUCAGUACCAUGAUGGGUAACCACUUAGGAAUACUAGGUGAUGUAAG